AUCCUAUUGAUGAGUCCGAAAUAGGACGAAACGUGCGUCCUGAAU
rnacentral:hammerhead_ribozyme from 1 species